UUAUGACAAAUUGUGCGUAUCCGAUGG
rnacentral:sRNA from 1 species